rnacentral:rRNA from 1 species
GAGUUUGAUCGAUGGCUCAGGAUGAACGCUAGCUACAGGCUUAACACAUGCAAGUCGAAGGGGCAGCAUUUCAGUUGCUUGCGAAACUGGAGAUGGCGACCGGCGCACGGGUGAGUAACACGUAUCCAACCUGCCGAUAACUCGGGGAUAGCCUUUCGAAAGAAAGAUUAAUACCCGAUGGUAUAAUCAGACCGCAUGGUCUUGUUAUUAAAGAAUUUCGGUUAUCGAUGGGGAUGCGUUCCAUUAGGCAGUUGGUGAGGUAACGGCUCACCAACCUUCGAUGGAUAGGGGUUCUGAGAGGAAGGUCCCCCACAUUGGAACUGAGACACGGUCCAAACUCCUACGGGAGGCAGCA